AUUGAACGCUGGCGGCAUGCCUUACACAUGCAAGUCGAACGGCAGCACGGGAGCAAUCCUGGUGGCGAGUGGCGAACGGGUGAGUAAUAUAUCGGAACGUGCCCAGUCGUGGGGGAUAACGUAGCGAAAGUUACGCUAAUACCGCAUACGAUCUAAGGAUGAAAGCGGGGGAUCGCAAGACCUCGCGCGAUUGGAGCGGCCGAUAUCAGAUUAGGUAGUUGGUGAGGUAAAGGCUCACCAAGCCAACGAUCUGUAGCUGGUCUGAGAGGACGACCAGCCACACUGGGACUGAGACACGGCCCAGACUCCUACGGGAGGCAGCAGUGGGGAAUUUUGGACAAUGGGCGCAAGCCUGAUCCAGCAAUGCCGCGUGCAGGAUGAAGGCCU
rnacentral:rRNA from 1 species